rnacentral:piRNA from 1 species
UUUGGCAGUGGAGUAGGGCGAGAAGAG